GUGGAUGUAGGCUAGUUGGUCAGUCACCUCGUUUGGGGCGAGGGUCACGCACGUUCGAAUCGUGUCAUCCGCA
rnacentral:tRNA from 1 species